CAGUCGCCGCGGGAAUACGAAGGGCGCAAGCGUUACUCGGAAUUACUGGGCGUAAAGCGUGCGUAGGUGGUGGUUUAAGUCCGUUGUGAAAGCCCUGGGCUCAACCUGGGAAUUGCAGUGGAUACUGGGUCACUAGAGUGUGGUAGAGGAUAGUGGAAUUUCCGGUGUAGCAGUGAAAUGCGUAGAGAUCGGAAGGAACAUCUGUGGCGAAGGCGACUAUCUGGGCCAACACUGACACUGAGGCACGAAAGCGUGGGGAGCAAACAGGAUUAGAUACCCGGGUAGUCCCUGUCUCUUAUAC
rnacentral:rRNA from 1 species